GGUUAAGCGAAAAAGCGUACACGGUGGAUGCCUAGGCAGUCAGAGGCGAUGAAGGGCGUGCUAAUCUGCGAAAAGCGUCGGGGAGGUGAUAUGAACCGUUACAGCCGACGAUACCCGAAUGGGGAAACCCGAUGCAAAUAAUUGCAUCAUUAUGUUAUAAAUUCAUAGUAACAUAAGGCGAACCGGGGGAACUGAAACAUCUAAGUACCCCGAGGAAAAGAAAUCAAUUGAGAUUCCCUUAGUAGCGGCGAGCGAACGGGGAUCAGGCCCAGAGUUAUAAUCAGUUAGCGAAUUAGCAGAAGCGUCUGGAAAGUCGUACAAUAAAGGGUGAUAGUCCCGUAUGUAAAAAUUCGUUAAUUGUGAACUCGAAGAGUAGGGCGGGACACGUGACAUCCUGUCUGAAUGUGGGGGGACCAUCCUCUAAGGCUAAAUACUACUGACUGACCGAUAGUGAACUAGUACCGUGAGGGAAAGGCGAAAAGAACCCCUAUAAGGGGAGUGAAAAGAACCUGAAACCGUGUACGUACAAGCAGUAGAAGCACCUACAUGGUGUGACUGCGUACCUUUUGUAUAAUGGGUCAGCGACUUGUUCUUUGUAGCGAGGUUAACCGUAUAGGGGAGCCGUAGGGAAACCGAGUCUUAAAUGGGCGUUCAGUUGCAGAGUACAGACCCGAAACCCGGUGAUCUAGCCACGGGCAGGUUGAAGGUUGGGUAACACUAACUGGAGGACCGAACCGACUAAUGUUGAAAAAUUAGCGGAUGACCUAUGGUUAGGGGUGAAAGGCCAAUCAAACCGGGAGAUAGCUGGUUCUCCCCGAAAGCUAUUUAGGUAGCGCCUUGUGAUAUCAUCUUUGGGGGUAGAGCACUGUUUUGGUCAGGGGGCCACACCGGCUUACCAAGCCAAUGCAAACUAUGAAUACCGAAGAAUGCAAUCACGGGAGACACACGGCGGGUGCUAACGUCCGUCGUGAAGAGGGAAACAACCCAGACCGCCAGCUAAGGUCCCAAAGUCAUAGUUAAGUGGGAAACGAUGUGAGAAGGCCCGGACAGCCAGGAUGUUGGCUUAGAAGCAGCCAUCAUUUAAAGAAAGCGUAAAAGCUCACUGGUCGAGUCGGCUUGCGCGGAAGAUGUAACGGGGCUAAAUUAUGCACCGAAGCUGCGGCAUCUGGCGAAUCCAUAAGGUCAUGCGACCUUAUGGAUUCGCCAGGUGGGUAGGGGAGCGUUCUGUAAGUCUUUGAAGGUAUGUUGUGAAGCAUACUGGAGAUAUCAGAAGUGCGAAUGCUGACAUGAGUAACGAUAAAGCGGGUGAAAUGCCCGCUCGCCGAAAGACUAAGGGUUCCUGUCCAACGUUAAUCGAGGCAGGGUGAGUCGACACCUAAGGUGAGGCCGAAAGGCGUAAUCGAUGGACAACAGGUUAAUAUUCCUGUACUGAUUAUGACUACGAAGGGGGGACGGAGAAGGCUAUGUUAGCCGGGCGUCGGUUGUCCCGGUUUAAGCAUGUAGGCUUGGGCGUUAGGCAAAUCCUUCGCUCAGUACGGCUGAGAUGUUAUGACGAAGCGCUACGGCGCUGAAGUAAUAAACGCCAUGCUUCCAGGAAAAGCCUCUAAGUAUUAGGUCAUAGUUAAUCGUACCCCAAACCGACACAGGUGGUCAGGUAGAGCAUACUAAGGCGCUUGAGAGAACCCGGGUGAAGGAACUAGGCAAAAUGGUGCCGUAACUUCGGGAGAAGGCACGCUGACUUCAGGUGAAGCGACAGGCUUGCGGAGCUAAAGUCAGUCGAAGAUACCAGCUAGCUGCAACUGUUUAUUAAAAACACAGCACUGUGCAAACACGAAAGUGGACGUAUACGGUGUGACGCCUGCCCGGUGCCGGAAGGUUAAUUGAUGGGGUUAUCCAUACAAGGAAAAGCUCUUGAUCGAAGCCCCGGUAAACGGCGGCCGUAACUAUAACGGUCCUAAGGUAGCGAAAUUCCUUGUCGGGUAAGUUCCGACCUGCACGAAUGGCGUAAUGAUGGCUAGGCUGUCUCCACCCGGGACUCAGUGAAAUUGAAAUCGCUGUGAAGAUGCAGUGUACCCGCGGCAAGACGGAAAGACCCCGUGAACCUUUACUAUAGCUUGACACUGAACACUGAGCUUUAAUGUGUAGGAUAGGUGGGAGGCUAGGAAACUAGGGCGCCAGUCCUCGUAGAGCCAUCCUUGAAAUACCACCCUUUAAGGUUUAUUGUUCUAACCUAGCACCGUUAACCGGUGUGGGAACAGUGUCUGGUGGGUAGUUUGACUGGGGCGGUCUCCUCCUAAAGAGUAACGGAGGAGCACUAAGGUCAGCUAAUCACGGUCGGAUAUCGUGAGGUUAGUGCAAUGGCAUAAGCUGGCUUGACUGCGAGAGUGACAAUUCGAGCAGGUGCGAAAGCAGGUCAUAAUGAUCCGGUGGUGCUGUAUGGAAGGGCCAUCGCUCAACGAAUAAAAGGUACUCCGGGGAUAACAGGCUGAUACCGCCCAAGAGUUCAUAUCGACGGCGGUGUUUGGCACCUCGAUGUCGGCUCAUCACAUCCCGGGGCUGAAGCAGGUCCCAAGGGUACGGUUGUUCGCCGUUUAAAGUGGUACGCGAGCUGGGUUUAGAACGUCGUGAGACAGUUCGGUCCCUAUCUGCCGUGGGCGUUGGAAGAUUGAGAGGGGUUACUCCUAGUACGAGAGGACCGGAGUGAACGCACCGCUGGUGUUCGGGUUGUCAUGCCAAUGGCAUUGCCCGGUAGCUAAGUGCGGAAAAGAUAAGCGCUGAAAGCAUAUAAGCGCGAAACUUGCCUCAAGAUGAGUCUUCCCAGACUCUUAAAGAGUCCUAAAGGGACGUUGAAGACAACGACGUUGAUAGGCCGGAUGUGUAAGCAUAGCAAUGUGUUGAGCUAACCGGUACUAAUGACCCGUGAGGCUUAACCUU
rnacentral:rRNA from 1 species